UACGUAGGGCGCAAGCGUUAAUCGGAAUUACUGGGCGUAAAGCGUGCGCAGGCGGUGAUGUAAGACAGAUGUGAAAUCCCCGGGCUCAACCUGGGAACUGCAUUUGUGACUGCAUCGCUGGAGUACGGCAGAGGGGGAUGGAAUUCCGCGUGUAGCAGUGAAAUGCGUAGAUAUCAGAAGGAACAUCAGUGGCGAAGGCGGCUUCCUGGACCAAUACUGACGAUCAGGUGCGAAAGCGUGGGGAGCAAACAGG
rnacentral:rRNA from 1 species